rnacentral:piRNA from 1 species
UGACUUUAAAAAGGAGAAAGACUGU